rnacentral:rRNA from 1 species
GUAGGUGGCAAGCGUUAUCCGGAAUUAUUGGGGCGUAAAGCGCGCGUAGGCGGUUUUUUAAGUCUGAUGUGAAAGCCCACGGGCUCAACCGUGGGAGGGUCAUUGGAAACUGGAAAACUUGAGUGCAGAAGAGGAAAGUGGAAUUCCAUGUGUAGCGGUGAAAUGCGCAGAGAUAUGGAGGAACACCAGUGGCGAAGGCGACUUUCUGGUCUGUAACUGACGCUGAUGUGCGAAAGCGUGGGGAUCAAACAGGAUUAGAUACCCUGGUAGUCCACGCCGUAAACGAUGAGUGCUAAGUGUUAGGGGGUUUCCGCCCCUUAGUGCUGCAGCUAACGCAUUAAGCACUCCGCCUGGGGAGUACGACCGCAAAGGUUG